rnacentral:rRNA from 1 species
GUCUUGAAACACGGACCAAGGAGUCUAACAUGUGCACAAGUCUUAAAGUUUUUAAUAAACUUGAUUGGCGCAAUGAAAGUAAGUUUAAAAUAUGACUGCGUUUAAAUUGUGUAUAAUAAAAAAAACAAGUUAGUCUUUUUAGAUUAACUUUGUGAUAUAUUAUACAUUAAUUAACGUUUCAAUAUUAGCUCGUUUAAAUUUACUGUAAAUUGUAUUUUUUAAACUUGUUUAAUUUUUACAAUUUUAUCAGUUGAACGAAGCUUGAGUGCAUACGUUGGUACCCGAAAGAUGGUGAACUAUUCCUGGGCAAGAUGAAGCCAGAGGAAACUCUGGUGGAAGUCUUGAGCGAUUCUGACGUGCAAAUCGAU